AUUUCAUUGUCUUUGAAUACUAAUUCCACCAUCUGUGUCAUUGGUGGGUCUUUUUCUAUUGACUCUCUUUCUCCUCCUGGUUAUGGGUCAUAUUUCCUGAUUCUUGGCAUGUCUAGUAUUUUUUUUUUUGGAUCCUGAACAUUGAGUUGUUAGAUCAUUGAGUAUCUGAACUUAGCUAUCCUCCUUUAAAGAAUGUUGGUUUUGUUCUGGAAGCUAGUUAAAGUCCUGGAAGAUCAGAUUGGUUUGAUCCUUUCAUGGCUUCUUUUUAAGUGUUUAAGGGUAUAUCUGGAGUAGUCUCUAUUCUGGGCUAGUUUAGCUCUACUACUAUGGUGUGACCCUCUGGGUCUCUUGAACAGUCACUUUGGAUGCUGGUCUCUUGAAGGCAUAAUGUGAAAAGAUCCAUGGCUUGACCUUGACCUGAAAGAUCCUUGGCAAGAGAUUCAUAAAAUCCUCUCUCCACAUGGUACAGCUUGAGACCAAAGAGUUGCUGUGAGGGAACAUGGAACUGAGGUUGCCUGCAGUUGCAUAGAGGGACCAAACGUAUGGCUGGAUGCUGAGAAACAGUUAGAAUGCUCCUGUGAAGAAAAGUGGCUGGCGAAUAGUGGGUCAUUCAUUACCAGGGAGUCAUAAAUGUGUCUACUUGGAAUCACAUACGGGAAGUUGCAGAACAUUCACGCAGCUUUUCAGGUCUUCACCCCCACCGUCAGCUUACACCAGCUGCUUCUCAUCACCUAGCCCUGGGGUCCUUCCCAUGAAGCUCGGUCCAACAGAGAAGCCAGCACCCAAAGGAAGUCCAUGCACACACUGGGCAGUGGACAAAAGCCGAGACUUGAAGAGUGGUAUUUUCUCCAGAGACACCGGAUAGGAAUAUAACUUGAAUGUCUCACAUGUGGUCCACUCAUCCACGCUGGCUUUGAACCACACUCAUUCCACGCUGAGCUCUUGUUUCCUAAAGCGCAUUCUAUGGUCUUCCAGUGCAGACAUAUGGCAUGCACUUCUGGCUGUUCUACAGAGCCUUCUGGUCCAGGGCUGACUGAAUAUGUGAGUAGUUUUUCUAUCACUUAUAAACCAUGUUGAUAUUUAGCAUAAAUGUAGUCCAGAUAAGCUUUCAUUUUCUUAGCCUAGAGGAGUAUGACAGGAUUAAAACCAAAGUGAAUUGAGGGACGACUUAACUGUUUUCAGCAAAUAAUAUAGAAGUGAUUGUACCAUCUGGACCCACUUAAUUUUGUGUCUGACUAUAAAGCAAACAUUGUGACAAACGGGAUUUGAAGGAAACUGAGUGACUAUAGAGGAAAGUAUAGUCUAUAUACUUUUAUACUAUACAGUAUACUUUAUACUAUACUAUAUAGUAUAAAAGUACAGAAACCCAAGUAUAGUCAAUACUAAGGUAAUGAAACAAUAUUCAACUUAUGACAAGCAACCCAACAGACCGUUAAAGUUUUAGAUCUAUAAAAAUAUAUAUUUUAAAAAUUUACACAGUAACAAUUUACAUAGUCUUAAGCAGUGUGAAACACAUUCUUAUAAAGAGAAUCACACAGCUUUAGAAACUUGCUAUUUAAGAGAACUAAUUCUGAAUUAGUCAUUCCUUUAUUCCUAUUUGUAUAGGUUUUCACAUAUCAAGUCAGUUAUCAGUUAAAAUACAGUGCUUCCCUGGUGGCGCAGUGGUUGAGAGUCCACCUGCCGAUGCAGGGGACACGGGUUCGUGCC
rnacentral:lncRNA from 1 species